CUGAUAGCUGAUCUAACCUACUACAGCAUCCUUUGCUUUUCUCCUGGUUUAGAAAUAAACUGCAGAGCCAAGUCCCAGUACCUCUCACAGGGUUUAAGAACAUUCUCACUUCUCUUUUCUUCUGAUGUUUCUCAUAUUACUGUAGUUUGUCUCUGUUGUGCCAGAGCAGUGCGUGCUAGAGCCUGGCAAGAAUAUUCUUGGCCCAGCCCCAGCGAAUCAGUCCUGAAUUAUUAGUUUGGUCACCGCACACCCAGCCUCCACACUUCCCACCAAUGGGUAUGGCUACCAGUUUCCUUAUCCGUGUUUGGAAUGGGGCACCAUGCAGUUCUCAGCAUGGUCCAGCAAGCCCACCGCUGAGCAGCGUUGCCUCAAGAGUCUUGCAGUGGCAGGCCCCUCUGAGCGUUUCUAGCCAUGGAGGUUGCGAGCCACGUGGGUCCCCGUUCCAACUAGCAGAUGAUGUGUCUUGAAUGGCUUCCACUUCCCAUCUCAGUGCGUAGCAGUUUCCCACAGCCUGAGUCCCUCCAGAGGUGGUCAACUCCAGUCGGCUGGAGGAUGCUGGGAGCUGUAGUCCAGUAUAUGAAGAAAGAAGCAGGCUUUCUGUAGCAGGAAGAACAUGUAAGAUCUGGGCACCUGGAAUACUGGCGACACUGCUAAUCAGUGGUCUCGCUGGACCAUGCUAGACAUGGGCCUGCUGUGCAGUGUGUGGUGCUACAUUCUGAUGGGCGCCCCAGUGCAAUAGUCCAGCCUUCCCACACCAUGACUGCAUGAGAUGUGCUGGGCUUUCAGUCCCAGCUGGCAUGUCCAAUCGCAAGCUGUAUCUAAAACACCCGGUGGAGAAACCCAGACUGGGGUAGGCCAGGCUGGUUUUCUUUUUUUAUAUAUAAGCUUAUUAGUAUGCAUUUAUAGAAAGCUGUAUAUUUUGGACAUAUUUGAAAAUGAUAACUGCAUUUUUAUGAGUUUAUUUACAGGACUACUACCAUUCCUUGCCUUUUCUAUAAUUAUAUAUCCACAGUGGAGCCUACAGUCACUUUCAGUUUUACGCUAUUCAUAUAUGUAUAUAUUCUAGCAAGUUUGGUUUGGCAAGAUCCGUGAAUUUGUCCCUGAACUGGUGAGACAUAUUCUCUCUUUUUUAAAAUAUGUAACACAUCUGUAUAUUUUAUUUUCUAUUUAGGAAACAUUUUAAAACAAAUUUGCUUUCAUAAUUGCAUGUAUAGACACUGUGAGGAGUAUGGAUUGAACUGUGUGUGCUCAAGUUUUUAUUCUUAAACUUUUUUUUUUUUAAUAAACUAGACUUCCUGAAGAAGACCUAAGCCCAAAGUGGAAUCGGUCAUUUCUGGUACUGGUUUUUCAAAGCUAUUUUUUCAAACCUUACUUUUACUUUCCAUUUUAUUUAUUUGUUUAUUUCUAAUGACUAAUUUCUCAUUUUCUAAUGACUGCAUGUGUAAAGCCCGUCUAAAUGAAGCAACAUGAUCAAACUUUUGGGAUACUGUAUAUCUUCACUGGUUGGCUUAUCUCACUUGGUUUACUGCUCUUGGAGAUGGGCUGGAAUAUAUUUCCUGACUGGUCUGGUAUGUUUUGCAUUGAGAGCAAGGCUCUGUGGGUAGCCAUGAAACCUAUGACCAAAUAAACCGUCAGCCUUUAAUGCCCCACUGAACUCUUUGAUGCUUUCAUAAGGGACACAGAGCUAGUUCAGUUUCUAUUGUCCUUCUGCUGACAAGUUAAGACAUUAUUAGGCAAGCUUUUGGCAGAUGCAUCUAAACUAUUGUGAUGCUGCUGUAGGCUUUAAUCUUGUGGGUGCUAUUCCCCCUUCUUAUUCAUGUAUUUAUGUGAUUUUUAAAAAUUGGGAUAUGUUCCUAUUUUAUCAGUUUUCAUGUUGGAUUAUAACUCCAUUAUUUAUUCAGAAUUUACUUUUAGCCACCCAGAGCAUCAAUUUUUACUGGAUAGAAAGGGAUAGAAAUUUAAUGAUUAAAUGCAUGUGUAUGCACUGCUAUUCCUUCUAUCAAAGUGUAUGUCAAGCAAAAGCAUUUCCAGACUGUAAUUAUGAAAUUAAUGUUGCAUCAGCUUAUCUGCUUCAAACGUCACUUUGACCUCCUAAAUUGCUGCUAAUCUUUCUUCUAUCACGAUUCUAACUUGAAAGAGAGAAUACAAGUUUUCCAAAACAAAAGCUGAUUUUUUUCUGCAUUGUUGAUUCUGCUCUAUGGGGCAUAAUCAGCCUCUGCAGCCUCAGAGGCUCUGUGACUUAAAGCAUUAGAAUAAAACAACCAGCAACAUAUUUCUGAUCCAAAAUCCCCUUGAUUCUGAAUAUGCUUCAUUUUAACCACUGAGUCAGCUGUAAUCAGGUACAAAUGGCCCCAGUAAAUAUUUGUAGAUCGAACCAAGUACCAGUCUAGCUCUCGACAUUCUGUUCAAGUCAAGAUGAACAGCUGUUGAACACAUGGUAGGCCCCUAUGAGCACUUCUGAUCCUUGCAUACAAUAUCAGAUUCAUCCAUACUUUCCCGACACACAGCCUGCUUUUAAAUUAAUGAAUAUAGGAUCAAUUUAAUCAGAUAUACCUCUUGCAGAAAAUAUUCCAUUGUAUAUUGGAAUUCAAUUGAAUAUUCAAUUGUAUAUGGAAAGGGAUACAAUUCAUUCCUUUUCUCAUCCCCUGCCAUUGAGUACUUCUUCUCCAUUACACACCACUCCACCACUUGCAGGAAGUGAGAAGAUGAUUGGCUCAAACUGUACUGCCGUAUGUGGCUUUUAUCAAAGCGAAAUGGUGUUGUAAUGCCUCAUUUCAUUUCAUUUCAUUUCAUUUCAUGUAAGGCGUAUGAGCUAAGGGUGCUCCAUAGAGCAAACUCCUCACAAAACAAAUAUUAAACCACCUUUUCUUCUCAUGUGGUCUCUCCAUGGAUCACACACUCUUUAGAACCAAAAAAGCUGGGCUGGGGGAAAAUUUGGAGCAGCUACUGAAAGUGGAGCAGCUGUGGACUUGGUCUAUGUCGCCGUGAGUCUGAACUCCACACUACGGGGAGACUCUUGGGUUUGGUCAGACUACAGAGGGACCAAAAUAUGUUAAAUCUUGGUAAGUGUGUUGGUAUGUUGUUCAUGUAAGUUGGACAAGUAGGACCUACAGCAAAAUGAUAUGUAUGGAGCGUUGUCUGUUUAGGAUUACAGCUAUUCAUUUGAUUCUCUUCCAUUUCAAUUCUCUGCCCUCCACACCAUUUUCUUGGCUACUGAGCAUGUUCAGUACCCACUGGGUUGUUUUUGAGGCUCGCCAUGACUAUCCAAGAGCUUGAGUUUUUUUUUCUAAAGGUUUUUGUGGGACUACUCCAAACCUUAGGAGCUCUCCAACCCUGCCAAUACCUUCCUCUUGUGCACAGGUGAAGCUAUUUUGAUUAAAUAAGCAAUGGCACCUAGAGUCUCGAAACAGAAAUAGUGGGAAUGUAGAUGAGGAAGAGAAGUAUAUGUUAAAUGCCACAAAGUUCCUUCUUGUUAAGAAUUAACUCAUUUCAUCAUUUUAUAAUAGGUCUGAAUAAUAAUACCAGUUUAAAAAAUAAUUGUGCUAUUGGGUUCAUAAUUUUAGGCAUAUGCAUUUUUUCAUUAUUUCAAAGUUAUGUUUAAACAAAGAGGCAUUAGGUAGGUCAAAGAAUUUUACCUGGAACUUUCAAAAGUUAAUUUUAUUAACCAAGGAACCACUAUUAUUGAAAGAGAUGGUGGUGGUCCAUUGCUCACUCUUGGCUGCCUGUGGCAAGCUAUGGGUUCUCACAGGCAGAAUUCAAAACCAGAAAGAAGAGGAGGAAGAGGAAGAAGAGGAGGAGGAGGAGUUUGAACAAUUUGGAAGCAUAACAGUAUAAGUAUAAAUUCUAUUUUAUUUUUUCCAAUAUGUAUAUUUUGCACCUGGCUCAUUCAUUUUGUCUUGUUACCUCUCACCACCCUUUUUGUUGUCUGUCUCACUUCUUUAGUCUAUGUCUAGAUGUGGAAUUUCUGCUGAAACGUCCAAAUUCAUUUGCUUAUUCUAAUGCAGUUUACCUGGUUUGCCUAAAAUGAAAGCACAUUACUUGAGGUGCAAGGAGUAAUGCAGCCCAAUAUACCAACCCUGUAAUCUAAGUAACAGUCUGUAGUGGUCCAUGGGCAUUUGUACAUAUUUUAGGCACAUCAGAAACAAUGGUUUAUCUAUACACAGCUUAGAAAAUUUAAGUUGAAACCAAGAAUUGUUACACAGUGGAAAUAAAGGGCAUUCUGACACCUAUAAACUGGAGAAACAACAGCUAUUUUUAAACCAUGGGUUUUUUGCCAACACAGAGAUUCAUUACUGUGCAUCCUCUGCCAAUGACAGUGAACCAGUACAAAAUAUUAUGAUACCUUGCAGCACAAGGCUGCUCCGGAAUUUAACAAGCCAUUUAAAUGCACAGACUAGAGUCAGAAAAAGGUCACACACUUGCAAUUUGUGCUGUCCAUUGAGCAACUGGGGAAAAUCUUGGUACAAUAUAAAAGAGACUGGACACAGACCUGCUGCUCUGCAAAGAGAAAGGAAUACCUUAGACAUGCAACCCCACUUCCCCCUUUUCUCGAUUUAGAUGUUCUGAACUGCAGCUCAAACUGUCAGGGCCAAUGGUCAGGGAUGGUGGGGGUUGUAAUAUAAACAUCUGGAGGGUUCCAGAUUGGGGAAGGUGGUUGUAGGCCUAUUCUGGAAUUCUGAUCCCCCAGCAAUGUGAGUUGCACAGAAGACAGCAGGGAUGAGCCCCGAUCACUCAGGAUGCUCCAUCCCCUUCGUUAGGAUGCCCAGGCGCACCCUCCCCUUAUGCAACUUUAGUCAUUACAAUACCCGAACAAGGACUCUCUUCACUUUUGGCACUCCCUUUUCAACAGUCUCCCUCCCCCGCCCCCCAGCACACACCUUUCUAGAUGUAGACUUAGCUCAUUCAAUCACUACUGUUUCUUAUUGUACAGUAUUUCCAUACAAUUAUCUGCCUUGCUGGCUGUAUUUCACUGUAUGCUUCUAUUCCGUUUUUUAUUUAGAAAAAUCCUUUCCCCUUCUCCAUUAUUCAUCUUGCCCCACAUAACUCUGUAUCACCUUGCUUAUUAAUAUUAGUGUUUGAUUCUAAAAUGAAUCUGCAAAGCAGGACACCUUGUCCCAGAUGUUUCUACCUGACCCUAAAGAUCAUCUGUGAGGUCCUUCUCAAGAACCCCUCCCAAAGAAGUAAGGGGGGGGUGGCAACUAGAAGAAGGGCCUUUUCAGUAGUGGCAUCCCACCUCUGGCACAUGCUCCCCUGAGAGGUAUGCCUGGCGCUGUCUCUGCCAUCUUUUCAGGGUCAGGUGAAAGCCUCUUUAUUUUCCAGUUCUCUUAAUAGUUAAGUCUGAAACAGUUUCAAUUUUUUUUUUUAUUAUUUGUUGUUGUGCCAGGGGAUUAAAGUAUUAUAACUGCUGUGGUUAGUUGCCCUGUGGCUGUUAUUUGUCAUAUUGUUUUAGUCUUUUAUUGUCUACUCAUCUGAAUAUUUUAUGAAUUGCAUAUACAAUUCUAAAUCUGUAAACUGUUCAGACAGCCUGCCGGCUAUAUGGCUGAAUAUAUAAAUGCAAUAAAUAAAAUAAUAAAUAAGUAAAAUAAGUGGAAAGGGUUUUCAUUUCAUUGGCCUUUUUUCUAGGUACACUUCCUCCAAUUUUUAAAAUUACAAAUGCAGUCUUGGUGCUACCUUGCAGGGUUCCUGCGUCCAGAUUCCUUCUACCUCUUUUUUAAAAGUGGAACAUUAGUAUUUGGCGAGCUUCUUGUUCUCAUGGCAAAAUGGCAGGCUUGUAGCAACAGCAGGAAUGAAGAAUUGGGGAGAGUCAAGCAGCUGUAUGCAAGGAUUGUCUAACUGCCUUGGGCUGCCCUCUGAAGGCUAAAGUUGUGCACGGUGAAAAGAAGAAAGCUUCCAUCAAUUUUCUGACUCCUAAACCAUAAAUUUCAACUGGACUCCCAGCAAUUGUAUUCAAGAGCACCAAGAUGCUGCAAUGCAUGCUUGGAAGUUUCCAGGAGAAUGGCUAAGAGAACAUGGUUUUUAAGAACUCCAGAACUUUUUGGUUGCAGCAGAAUCUACAGCCUAAUGAAGACUCCCCCCUGCUGUCUGCCGCAGGUCUUCUACACUGCCACAUCCAGACCUGGAAAAUUUGUGACUUUAACAUGACUUUUGAUAUAUGCACAAAGAGUAUGAAGCCCUGCAUUUUGGGCAUAUCAUUUUGCAAAGAAAGCAGUCAUUUUGCACAAAAUAGCCCCUGAGAAACACACGAUCGGUGCGGCUUGCCCUGCAUACUUCGAAUCACAUUAAAGCCACGUGCUCUCCCAGCGAUGGUCUGCAAAACUGGGUUCUGCAUCACCAUAACAAGUGAGGAACUGACCAGGUGAGCUGACUGAGCACACAGAAGCAGCAGAGAAAUCUCUCUGUGCAACACACGUGAGUACUGGGAGUCUCACAUCUUCAGGUUACACUAUCUCAUUUGAAACAGCUCUUAGUAUCACCUCAUUGGAUCUCUCCAAAAAGAAAGG